AUGGAGGGGAGAGUUGCUGGCGACGUGGAGCUUGAUUCUGCAGUGUUCCAAGUGUCAUUGACCAAGAACAGGUAUGAGGCAAUUGCUUGUAAUGGAGAGAGUGCCGAACCAGUAGCAUCUGGUCCUUUCGACCAACUAGUCCUGCACUUGGAAGAUGCCAAAAAUUUCCAAUCACGUUCAUCAAGUGGCUCUUUUAAGCUGUUAUUGGCUGGGGAUGCAAAAGGCUCUACCUGGUUCACAAAAUCCACCUUAGAGAGAUUUCUACAUAUCAUAAAUUCGCCUGAUGCAUCCAAAACGGCGAAUGGAAUUUUACAGGAAAUGUCUCAGCUGGAGGAAACUAGAAAGUUUCAUGAUUAUCUACAGUCCAAGGAACAACAAAAUCUUAUGGGUGGUGCUUUGACAGGUGGUCUCUCCAGCACCGUUGGCAAACCACAGCAGGGAAAUAUUGGCCCAAACUCCUCAGUGGCUACAAAGAAUGAGUUACUUCGAGCACUGGAUUUGAGGCUAUCAGCACUGAAAGAAGAAAUCUUGGUAUUAUUGAGUCGAGCAGUUGGCUCUAAGUUGUUGAAUAAAGAAGUAUCAGAUUUGUCUGGUUUUGUUCAGCAUUUUGGGACAUCAGAGUUUAGUUGGUUGGUGAGGUGCCUACUGUUGAUCCGGGAUUGCCAGCCCUCUGUGCUACCCCCACACCAAGCUUCUACUGCUGAGAGAAAGGAUGAUGCACUUGAGACUCGUGAUAUCAGUUCCCAAACCAAUAUCCAAAGGCCUAUCACCAGUAAUGUUUCCCCAGCAAAGCUUGCACAAGUUGAACGUAAAAUGUCAAUGGAAAGCGACGAUUCCUCUGAGUCCACCGAUGAAGAUGAAGCUGUUGUUGAAAGAAGCCGCCCCCUUAUGAGAUCUGCUUCUCCUAGGAGGUCUGCUUCUCCAAUGCGAAGGGUUCAAAUUGGGAGAUCAGGAUCUCGUAGGUCAACGCCAAUUGCCAUCAAGAGCCUAAGUUACUUCCCUCCUAGCCAGAGAGUUGCUUUGGAUAAAGAUGAUGAAAGCAGCUGCAAUGGUGAAACAGACCAGCCACCAAGGAGAUCCGACAAUAAUGUAAGAAGAAUGAGCGUGCAAGAUGCGAUUAGCCUUUUCGAGAAGAAGCAGAAGGGUGAGAAUCUGGAUUCUGAAAGUAAGAAAGCCGGCUUGGUCGCGACCAAAUCUGUACUGCGUCGGUGGAGUUCAGGAAUGGGUGACUCUUUGAACAGCAAUACAUCGGGAGAAAAGACCUCAGAUUCUACCUCUCAAAGCAAAUCUAACAAUAUGGCAUCUGAUGCAGAGAAGAAUGAAGCUGAAUUACAGGCUGAGACAGAUGCAGCGCCAAACAGUGUAGUUGCACCUGAGGCAGGAAGUUACGAUGCUGAUGGCCAUGGCAUCACAGUGUCGGACAUGGAAAAUGUGGUCUCAUCCCACAGUAACAUUUCUGCUGAACAAACACAUUCUGGGCAGGAGUCAAACAGUGAUAGGGCAAUGGCCUCUGCUGAGUGGAAUCGCCAGAAGGAAGCCGAACUUAAUCAGAUGUUAAUGAAAAUGAUGGAGGUCAUGCCUGGGAAGUUUGCAGGCGCCAAUGUAACUGCUACCGGGCUCAUUUCUGCAAGUGAGAAGAAAGGCGGACUUCAAAGAGAGAAGCGAGACACGAAGGUUCGAACAGAGAAAGGUGUAAAGCGACCAGCAAAGGAGACGAGCACCAAGCUCUUGAAGGAAUCCGUUGGGCAGAACAGAGCAGCAGUUACCCCCAAGACUAGCAUCAUAACAGAGAAGCGCAACUCACCUAUUCCACAAAGGGCAAGGAGAAAUUCAUCACCUCCAGUCUUGCCAAAGGAAGUGAUCUCAAAGACACCAGCAAAAAAAAGUUCCCCCAAACCAUCACCUGCACCAGCUACCCGUAGUUCAUGGUCAGGAUCUUUGACUAAAGCAACUAGUAGUACUGCACAGAAAACUAAAAACUCUCCUGGAGCAGUUUCAACAUCGACACCAACUAGCCGGAGAAGGACCGCGACAGCAUCCUUGGCACCUCAGCCGAUUUCAAAGGUGGAGAAACCCCUUCCAGCAGUGAAGAACAAGAAGGAACCUGUGACUGCGACAAAGCCAGCCAUUAAGGGGCAGGAAGAUAAGAAGACAAGGACAGCAACAAAGCCGAGCAGAGUGGCAAAAAGUUCACCUGCAUCAGAAGAAAAAUCAAGUGCAAUGACAAAGUCAGGCAUGUAUAACAAGGUCCCAAAGAAAAGCAGUGUUGUACCAGUAGAACCCAAACCCGUGAAGAAAGCCACUGGGAUUAGUCAAGGUGUUGGUUCUGGUGCUGUUAAGAGUAAAGUGCCGCAGCUUGGUGAUUCUUCAAAGGGCAGUGGAAUUGUUACCCGUGCGGAAGAUAAGGAGCAAUCUCCUGUGACAACCGAGCCAACUACCAAGGUACCAGAGGCUGAUCUUGCUCAACCAGCACAUGAUGUUGAUGAAAAUUUAGAAAUUUCGAUCGAUAAUGACUUACAUGUUGAAAAAACAGAAAACCCGGGCUCGAGUUUAAGCGCAGCCGAAAUGGGCCCCAGUGACCAGGUUGAGCCCUCUGUCGUUGAGGUCAAACCUCUUGACGAGGACAUGGACAUCUCAUCAGCUGCCUGGGUUGAAGUGGAUCAUCAAGAAGUUACUGAUGUGGGUGAAAGCGUGACAGGCGAGGAUGUCACCUCGCCAGCAAUUGAACCAUUGCCGUCAUCAAGCCCAAGAAUCCGUCAUUCGUUGUCACAAAUGUUGCAAGCAGAUAGCAACGAACCAGAAAUAAUCGAGUGGGGAAAUGCUGAAAACCCACCCGCAAUAGUUUUUCAUAAAGAUUCUCCAAAAGGAUUCAAGAGACUUCUUAAAUUUGCUCGGAAAAACAAAGGAGACAACAACACUAAUGGUUUGGCCAGCCCAUCUGUGGUUUCUGAUGGAGAGGAUGAACAAGAAGAAUCCGGUGCUGGUGACGGUGUAAAUUCCAGCAGGAGAACUUUUGAUGGUUCCAAGACUAAUAGCGUCUUAUCAGCUCAAUCAACGGCCAGCAGCUUCAAUGCCACAGGCUCGGAUAGGCUACGGGACAGGCCUGGAGCUGCACCGUCAACUAAAGCAGCAUCAAGGUCAUUCUUCUCCCUCUCAAACUUCCGGAGCAGCAAAACCAACGAGUCAAAGCUUCGAUAG
rnacentral:rRNA from 1 species